UGCCGGAGGCCAUUGCUAUCGGAGUCCGAUUUAGCCAUGCUAGUUGCACGAGUUCACACUCGUAGCAUAUAGCUCAGUAACACGUGGUCAAGCUACCCUGCAGACACGGACAACCUCGGGAAACUGAGGCUAAUCCGCGAUACCGAUCCCACGCUGGAAUGCCGGGAUCCACAAACGCUCCGGCGCUGCAGGAUGCGGCUGCGGCCGAUUAGGUAGACGGUGGGGUAACGGCCCACCGUGCCGAUAAUCGGUACGGGUUGUGAGAGCAAGAGCCCGGAGACGGAAUCUGAGACAAGAUUCCGGGCCCUACGGGGCGCAGCAGGCGCGAAACCUUUACACUGCACGCAAGUGCGAUAAGGGGACUCCGAGUGCGAGGGCAUAUAGUCCUCGCUUUUGAGAACCGUAAGGCGGUUCUCGAAUAAGAGCUGGGCAAGACCGAAACCAACCGCCGCGGUAAUACCGGCAGCUCAAGUGAUGGCCAAUCUUAUUGGGCCUAAAGCGUCCGUAGCUGGCCACGAAAGUCCGUCGGGAAAUCCAUCUGCCCAACAGAUGGGCGUCCGGCGGAAACUUCGUGGCUUGGGACCGGAAGGCUCGAGGGGUACGUCCGGGGUAGGAGUGAAAUCCCGUAAUCCUGGACGGACCGCCGAUGGCGAAAGCACCUCGAGAAGACGGAUCCGACAGUGAGGGACGAAAGCUAGGGUCUCGAACCGGAUUAGAUACCCGGGUAGUCCUAGCCGUAAACAAUGUUC
rnacentral:rRNA from 1 species